CCUACGGGUGGCAGCAGUGAGGAAUAUUGGUCAAUGGACGAGAGUCUGAACCAGCCAAGUAGCGUGAAGGAUGACUGCCCUAUGGGUUGUAAACUUCUUUUAUAAAGGAAUAAAACGAGGCACGUGUGCCUUUAUGCAUGGACUUUAUGAAUAAGGAUCGGCUCACUCCGUGCCAGGAGCCGCGGUAAUACGGAGGAUCCGCGCGUUAUCCGGGUUUAUUGGGGUUAAAGGGAGCGUAGAUGGGUUGUUAAGGCCGUUGUUCAAGUUUGCGGCUCAACCGUAAAAUUGCAAUUGAUACUGGCAGUCUUGAGUACAGUUGAGGUAGGCGGAAUGCGUGGUGUAGCGGUGAAAUGCUUAGAUAUCACGAAGAACCCCGAUUGCGAAGGCAGCUUACUAAACUGUGACUGACAUUGAUGCUCGAAAGUGUGGGUAUCAAACAGGAUUAGAUACCCCAGUAGUC
rnacentral:rRNA from 1 species